rnacentral:rRNA from 1 species
AAUCAACGCUGGCGGCGCGCCUAACACAUGCAAGUCGAACGAGAAAGCCGCAAGGCAAGUAAAGUGGCGUACGGGUGAGUAACACGUGGAUGAUCUACCCUCUAGUGGGGAAUACCGUUGGGAAACCGACGACAAUACCGCAUAAGCUCGAGAGAGGAAAGCAGCAAUGCGCUGGAGGAGGAGUCCGCGGUCGAUUAGGUAGUUGGCAGGGUAAAAGCCUACCAAGCCUGUGAUCGAUAGCCGGCCUGAGAGGGCACACGGCCACACUGGCACUGAA